rnacentral:rRNA from 1 species
GCUCAGUAACACGUAGUCAACCUGCCCUAGAGACAUGAAUAACCCCGGGAAACUGGGAUUAAUACAUGAUAGAUCAUCUCAUCUGGAAGGAGAGAUGGUUUAAAGGGGUGCGCGAGCUUCUUUUGUGCAUCCGCUCUAGGAUGGGACUGCGGCCGAUCAGGCUGUUGGUGGGGUAAUGGCCCACCAAACCUGUAACCGGUACGGGCCUUGAGAGAGGGGGCCCGGAGAUGGACACUGAGAGAAGGGUCCAGGUCCUACGGGGCGCAGCAGGCGCGAAACCUUCGCAAUGCGCGAAAGCGUGACGAGGUUAAUCCGAGUGGUUCCCGCUGAGGGAAUCUUUUGUGGCUCUAAAAUGGCCAGUGAAUAAGGGGAGGGCAAGUCUGGUGUCAGCCGCCGCGGUAAUACCAGCUCCUCGAGUGGUCGGGGCGAUUAUUGGGCCUAAAGCAUCCGUAGCCUGUUCUGUAGGUCUUCUGUUAAAUCCAACGGCUUAACCGUUGGCCUGCAGAAGAUACCGCAGGACUAGGAGGCGGGAGAGGUGGACGGUACUCCACGUGUAGGGGUAAAAUCCUUUGAUCCGUGGAAGACCACCAGUGGCGAAGGCGGUCCACCAGAACGCGCUCGACGGUGAGGGAUGAAAGCUGGGGGAGCGAACCGGAUUAGAUACCCGGGUAGUCCCAGCCGUAAACGAUGCGAGCUAGAUGAUCCAAUCGCAAAUCGCGAUUGGAGUGUCGCAGGGAAGCCGUUAAGCUCGCCGCCUGGGGAGUACGGUCGCAAGACUGAAACUUAAAGGAAUUGGCGGGAUU